GCUACUCAGUUACAGAAUUGACCUCAGCAGUAACAGGAUGGAACCACUCCUUAGUACGAACAACAAGACUUCAACUCAGAGGUGAGCUAGCGAUCAACAAGAAUACAACCACUGUUAAUAAGAAUGCAACAGUAGCCGAAGGGGCUGGUCUUCCACUCAGGAGUCAAAGAAGUGGAGUGGUCAGCAGCUGGGCUUGUUUCAAGAAGUCUUAGUGGAUGUCGGCCAGGUAAGAAAGAGAAUGCCCUGUUCGAGUGAUUGUUUCAUCCCGAUAUAUUCUAUUCUAAUUAUAGGUAGGUUCUUCUGUUAGGUUCUUAUCUAUAUUCUAUUCUAAUUACAGGAAUUUAGACCCGUAGGAUUACUUGGGCACUGUUCGCCCUAUCAAAGUCCCUAUAACAGAUGAAUAGCACCAUUACUUCUACUACUUUCUGAAUGGCACCAUUACUUCUACUUUCAACCCUUCUCUUUCUUAUUCUUAUUAUUCCGCUAUAAUAGCGUGUGCUUACCGGGCCAAGAGACCUAGAAGAAGCCUCCUCCCCUCAAUAGCGGAGAUGCAACAUCAAUAGCGGAGAUGCAACAUAAGUAACUGUAGAGGCCCUUUUUCGUACGUUUCGGUCAGCUGUUAGAGCAGAUACAUCAGUAGCAGUACCCUAAGCCAGAAAGAAUCAUUUCAUUUGAAGACUCCGGAGACGAACAGAGGUAUCGGAGAGUUCUAUUAGCCGAAUGAAAGUAGCCAGCUGCAGGGCUUGUUUGAUUCUCUAAGUGUUCUACCAGAUUCGGGUAAAAAGUAAUAGCCUAUUCUUUAGGCAAGGGAGAAUCAUAAUCAUGAGCUAGGUAUUCUAGUUCUAUUACAAGAUUCUGGUUUCAAGUAAUAGGUAAGAUAUAUUCCUUAAUGACUAUAAUAUAAGAGAAAGGAAGGAGUAAUAGAAGAUAUAGGAAUGAGUAAAGAAGGAGUAAUGGGAGAGAUAAUAUAAGAGAAAGGAAGGAGUAAUGGGAGAGAAACGAAUGAGUAAAGAAGGAGUUACCGAGGGAUUGUUUUCAUGAUAGAGAAGAAAGAGAGUAGAAAACCUCAGCCUCUAUUGAGUAAUUCAGAGAAAGGGAUGCUCCGGAAAGUCUCUCGGAACAGGCGCAAUAACUAUUAGAAGUGGGGCAGAUGUUCUAAGUGAAAGAGUGGGGAGCGCAGGGAAUAGGUAAUUUAGCUACAGCAUAAUUUAGUUAGGGAGUUAGGAGCGCAGGGAAUAGGUGUAGCCUAUAAUUGCUCUUCAUUAUAUAUA
rnacentral:lncRNA from 1 species